CUAGUACUCCCUCCGUCCGGAAAUACUUGUCGGAGAAAUACAGAAAAAUGAAUAUAUCUAGAAUUAAGUACGUCUAGAUACAUCCAUUCUGUCGACGAGUAUUUCCGGAUAGAGGGAGUACUUU
rfam:Triticum aestivum genome assembly, contig: Triticum_aestivum_CS42_TGACv1_scaffold_592146_7BS